AGAGAAGCUUGCUUCUCUUGAGAGCGGCGGACCGGUGAGUAAUGCCUAGGAAUCUGCCUGGUAGUGGGGGAUAACGUUCGGAAACGGACGCUAAUACCGCAUACGUCCUACGGGAGAAAGCAGGGGACCUUCGGGCCUUGCGCUAUCAGAUGAGCCUAGGUCGGAUUAGCUAGUUGGUGAGGUAAUGGCUCACCAAGGCGACGAUCCGUAACUGGUCUGAGAGGAUGAUCAGUCACACUGGAACUGAGACACGGUCCAGACUCCUACGGGAGGCAGCAGUGGGGAAUAUUGGACAAUGGGCGAAAGCCUGAUCCAGCCAUGCCGCGUGUGUGAAGAAGGUCUUCGGAUUGUAAAGCACUUUAAGUUGGGAGGAAGGGUUGUAGAUUAAUACUCUGCAAUUUUGACGUUACCGACAGAAUAAGCACCGGCUAACUCUGUGCCAGCAGCCGCGGUAAUACAGAGGGUGCAAGCGUUAAUCGGAAUUACUGGGCGUAAAGCGCGCGUAGGUGGUUUGUUAAGUUGGAUGUGAAAUCCCCGGGCUCAACCUGGGAACUGCAUUCAAAACUGACUGACUAGAGUAUGGUAGAGGGUGGUGGAAUUUCCUGUGUAGCGGUGAAAUGCGUAGAUAUAGGAAGGAACACCAGUGGCGAAGGCGACCACCUGGACUAAUACUGACACUGAGGUGCGAAAGCGUGGGGAGCAAACAGGAUUAGAUACCCUGGUAGUCCA
rnacentral:rRNA from 2 species